CUUCAAGAUGGAACAAAUAGUAGUGUAGCAAGCUUUGUGUCUUUACUUGUACGUUGUGCAGUUUCUAAAUGCUUCACAGUGCUAAUGAAGCUUCAGGUUUUCCUAUACUUGCAAUUAAUUUCGUGUAGUUUCUCUUCCCAGUCUCAUCCUCGUUCAAUAUAUUGCUUUACUUUUCCCUUUAUGACUGGGGGUGGUAGCAACUGUCUCCAAAUAGAGAAGGCAUUGAUUAAUAUUGCUUAUAUGAUUAUAAGCGGCUUUUUGUUACAUUGGAUUUAAACAUUUCUGUUAGGAUGAAAAGUUUCUAAUCUAUGUUUAUUAUAUUGCUUUGGGAAAUGAAGGAAGAGGGAAAGAAAGGAGCCGCCUGUAAAUUCCAGCUGUCUUAAUGUUAUGCUUUAUAUAAGCUUUUACUCUGUUAUUAAAGGUUGAAAAAGAUUACUCCUAAUUACAAUUUCUAGAUGUCAUUGAGGUCAAAUAGUCAAAGUCAACAUUUUUAUUAUUUUUUUUAAUCAUGCAUUUGGUUUUUGGCACGAAGUGUAAAGGAAAGUCCUUAAAAGGCCAAGUGUGGUAGGUUUAAGGGGAAGUGCUGCGCAGAAUUUAUAUCAUCCACUUCAACAGUUGCAAAAAAUAUAGAGUAAGUAGUGAGUUUCUAAGGUUCAGGCUAAUCCUUUUGGGAGAAAGGGUGGGUGCAGAUGAGGUUUGUUAAGAUACUGCAUUAUUCUACAUCUGGUGGAGCAUAAUAUGCUGUGUGCACUUGUAGGGACUACUUUGGCUUCUUGUGUUGGUAUUUUUGAAGAUGAAUAUGGCUACAGAUGCUAAGAUUUAUUUGAUUAUUUUGUCUUUACAUGCUGUCCAAGCACUUUCUGACUUAUAUGUUUUGUUGAUCAUAAUAUGUUGUCUUGAGGGUCUGAACUCUGAUGCAUGUAAUUCAUUCUUACAAAUAUUCUGUAUAUCUAAACUGAUGGAGUUAUUUACAUAAAAAUAAGGUCAUAAAUUUCAGCUGCUGCGGCUACACAAAUAGGCUCUCUUUGUUUAGUGGUAUAGAAUAGUUGUUUUGCAGUACUCUUUUUCCAUGUGUAGGAAUAUAUAUUCUACAAAUUUGCAGAAGAUAACUAUUCCAUUCUUAAGAUUUGAAUCAAAGUUGAGAUUGUGGAGUUAUUAUUCUUCAUUCAAAAUUUAAACCAAACUGAGAAUAAUAACUUUCUGAAUGGAAUUCCUUGAACCAAAACAAUGUUGUAAUGUGUUGUCUCAAUUCUUGAUGGGCCAAAUUUUCUCAGGCAAAUCUCCAAUCUCUUCCGCCAAACAGCCCGCGUCUCUUCUUCCAGACGCAGGCAUUACGUCCAUCUCCCCUUGGCCUCCUACACUCCUGAAUCUUCUCUGUAUGUCCUCUUAUUGUAUAUGCAAUGCUUGUUCUUUGGUGUUUUAAUCAAAUUUGAGACAA
rnacentral:misc_RNA from 1 species